AUCAAAACUCAUAUAUGUAACCUAGAUUUGUAAGAAACAAGACAUUUGAAGCAAAAAUUGUACAGAACCAAAUAAUUGCUACCAUGAUUCAGAGGCCAAUGGAGAAUCUUGAUGCGUCCCCAUCACUUGACAAGGCCUUAGAACCCAAAACUCAGUAAACAUGUAUGCAUUCCAGAAUUAAGAUGAAGAACAACCCUGGAAUCACGGGGGCCCCAAUUCUUCACCCUCCGUAUUGUGUAUGGAGCCCUGGGUGAGCUGUAAUCCUGGAACUGACACCCCUUCCUUCACUGGAUCAUUACUCCAUAUCUUCAAUGCAGUACAAGGAAUGAGACAAACCAGAACACUCAUCUUUAAUUUGGGCAUUGUUAAACUAGUUGCAGAAAGCUUGAAUCAAUCUGGGUUCCAAUUCUUGACCUGUAAAGAUUGAAUCUUUCAUCAAAAUAAUGGGUUGUUGAUGGACAUGUAGAGAUAGGAUGAUGAGCAGAAGUGGUAGUGAGAACAAGCAGCAGCAGUGAUAAAUUUUGGGUUGGUUUUAUAGCUCAAGUGUGGUCGACCACUUGACCUAAAGUCAGCAUUCUAGCAGCAGGGUGAAGGUUCGACUCUCACCAAGUUAGAUAGGUCCUUGGGCUCUCCCAAAUUGGCAGAAGUGUGGAGAUGAAUCCCUUGUGUGCAAAGUCGAGGACAAAAAUUGACUGGGAGACUGUUUGGGCGACUCGGGAUUUACCACUUCUAGCAAUUCUUGGGACGAAGGGUUCUGGGAACUUAGGAUAUGCUUAACGUAAGCUGGGAACCUAAUGUAUAUAUAAAAAAAAAGAACAGCAAUUGGGGGGGUUGUGUGUUAGGGGUGAAGGUGGAUGGAGAUAACUACAUGCAUGAUGAUUUAUGAUAAUUGGGUUGAUGGGUGUUUUGACUGUUUGUCAUUUAUGAUAUUAAGAUGAUUGUACAAGGGGAAUUCAGCUAACAGACAAACCAUCAUUCUUAAAUGUUAAUAUAUACAGAUGAUGACAGAAAACAGAUGAUGUGGAAUAGGUUGUUAUAUAUGUCAACCUCAAU